rnacentral:rRNA from 1 species
ACUCCUACGGGAGGCAGCAGUGGGGAAUAUUGGACAAUGGGCGAAAGCCUGAUCCAGCCAUGCCGCAUGAGUGGAGAAGGCCUUUGGGUUGUAAAGCUCUUUUAGUGAGGAAGAUAAUGACGGUACUCACAGAAGAAGUCCUGGCUAACUCCGUGCCAGCAGCCGCGGUAAUACGGAGAGGGCUAGCGUUAUUCGGAAUUAUUGGGCGUAAAGGGCGCGUAGGCUGGUUAAUAAGUUAAAAGUGAAAUCCCGAGGCUUAACCUUGGAAUUGCUUUUAAAACUAUUAAUCUAGAGAUUGAAAGAGGAUAGAGGAAUUCCUGAUGUAGAGGUAAAAUUCGUAAAUAUUAGGAGGAACACCAGUGGCGAAGGCGUCUAUCUGGUUCAAAUCUGACGCUGAAGCGCGAAGGCGUGGGGAGCAAACAGGAUUAGAUACCCUGGUAG